UUGAGAGUUUGAUCCUGGCUCAGAACGAACGCUGGCGGCAGGCUUAACACAUGCAAGUCGAACGAGAUCUUCGGAUCUAGUGGCAGACGGGUGAGGAACACGUGGGAACAUCCCUUUCAGUUCGGAAUAACGUUGGGAAACUAACGCUAAUACCGGAUACGUCCUUCGGGAGAAAGAUUUAUCGCUGAAAGAUUGGCCCGCGUCUGAUUAGCUAGUUGGUGAGGUAAUGGCUCACCAAGGCUACGAUCAGUAGCUGAUCUGAGAGGAUGAUCAGCCACAUUGGGACUGAGACACGGCCCAAACUCCUACGGGAGGCAGCAGUGG
rnacentral:rRNA from 1 species